rnacentral:rRNA from 1 species
CCUACGGGUGGCAGCAGUGAGGAAUAUUGGUCAAUGGACGAGAGUCUGAACCAGCCAAGUAGCGUGAAGGAUGACUGCCCUCUGGGUUGUAAACUUCUUUUAUAUGGGAAUAAAAUGUUCCACGUGUGGGAUUUUGUAUGUACCAUAUGAAUAAGGAUCGGCUAACUCCGUGCCAGCAGACGCGGUAAUACGGAGGAUCCGAGCGUUAUCCGGAUUUAUUGGGUUUAAGGGGAGCGUAGGUGGAUUGUUCAGUAAGUUGUGCUAGUUUGCGGCUCAAACGUAAAAUGGCAGUUGAAACUGGCAGUCUUGAGUACAGUAGAGGUGGGCGGAAUUCGUGGUGUAGCGGUGAAAUGCUUAGAUAUCACGAAGAACUCCGAUGGCGAAGGCAGAUCACUGGACUGCAACUGACACUGAGGCUCGAAAGCGUGGGUAGCAAACAGGAUUAGAUACCCGGGUAGUC